GAAAUAUCAUGUAUGAAAAACAAAAAAAUUAUCUUUGUUUUUGCCUUCCUGCCUGCCCAUACUACAGGAAACCUGCUAAGGCAGUUGAAGAUACGUCUUAUAGGAUACAUGGGCUCCCUGAUGCCAAAGACAUCUCUACAUUCUUACUGUCACUCAGGCAUAAAGGAACACUUUGCAAGUCUAAGCUGUCACCAUCAUUCACACCGCCAAGGAAGAAGCUGGAAAGUGUUGCUCCAUUCUGUACAACCAUCAACAUUAAGGUCUUCCAGAAAUAGAACUACGGUCUCCAGAGACUAUACCAAAGGAAGCAUCAAUGGAGGCAUGAGUGUUAAUUCUUAUUCAAAUUCUUAUUCAAAUUGGUGGCUAUUUUUGG
rnacentral:lncRNA from 1 species